rnacentral:lncRNA from 1 species
CUGUGAGAGGCACACUGAAAUGAGCACUACAGACCCUAGGAGGGGAGGGUUCAAGUAGAGUCAGGGAAGGUCCUAGGGGAGGUGGUCUCUGAACUCAAGGGCAGGUUGCCAAAGAGGAGGAGUUGGGAGAGCAUUGAUGACCGGCAGAGAAGUCAAUGCGCAGAGGUCAGAUGAGAGAGUGACAAGGAGGAAACAAGGCAGGCUGGAGCAGAGAGGACCACAGGAGCACCAUGUCAUGCUUCACCCAGAAAUCAGUCUUUGGAAUAUGAGUGUGCUACAUGUGACUGUUGGCAGAUCACCUGAUGGAGACUUAGGAUAAUGGGUGGUGCAGGCUGCGAGUCCAUGGGCAUGCCUUAAACACACCCUUACCUUAUGUCCCCCUGUCCCUGACCCAGUGCCCGCAACUGGGCUUUUACAUGGUACUAAGCACUAAAUAAAUACCUUUUGAAUGAUGGACUAAAU